AACGAACGCUGGCGGCAGGCUUAACACAUGCAAGUCGAGCGCCCCGCAAGGGGAGCGGCAGACGGGUGAGUAACGCGUGGGAAUCUACCCAUCUCUACGGAAUAACGCAUGGAAACGUGUGCUAAUACCGUAUACGUCCUUCGGGAGAAAGAUUUAUCGGAGAUGGAUGAGCCCGCGUUGGAUUAGCUAGUUGGUGGGGUAAAGGCCUACCAAGGCGACGAUCCAUAGCUGGUCUGAGAGGAUGAUCAGCCACACUGGGACUGAGACACGGCCCAGACUCCUACGGGAGGCAGCAGUGGGGAAUAUUGGACAAUGGGCGCAAGCCUGAUACAGCCAUGCCGCGUGAGUGAUGAAGGCCCUAGGGUUGUAAAGCUCUUUCACCGGUGAUGAUAAUGACGGUAACCGGAGAAGAUGCCCCGGCUAACUUCGUGCCAGCAGCCGCGGUAAGAC
rnacentral:rRNA from 1 species